UACGUAGGUCCCGAGCGUUGUCCGGAUUUAUUGGGUUUAAAGGGUGCGUAGGCGGCCUGCCAAGUCAGCGGUAAAAUUGCGGGGCUCAACCCCGUACAGCCGUUGAAACUGCCGGGCUCGAGUGGGCGAGAAGUAUGCGGAAUGCGUGGUGUAGCGGUGAAAUGCAUAGAUAUCACGCAGAACCCCGAUUGCGAAGGCAGCAUACCGGCGCCCGACUGACGCUGAGGCACGAAAGUGCGGGGAUCAAACAGG
rnacentral:rRNA from 1 species